GAUGAACGCUGGCGGCGUGCCUAAUACAUGCAAGUCGAGCGAACGGACGAGAAGCUUGCUUCUCUGAUGUUAGCGGCGGACGGGUGAGUAACACGUGGAUAACCUACCUAUAAGACUGGGAUAACUUCGGGAAACCGGAGCUAAUACCGGAUAAUAUUUUGAACCGCAUGGUUCAAAAGUGAAAGACGGUCUUGCUGUCACUUAUAGAUGGAUCCGCGCUGCAUUAGCUAGUUGGUAAGGUAACGGCUUACCAAGGCAACGAUGCAUAGCCGACCUGAGAGGGUGAUCGGCCACACUGGAACUGAGACACGGUCCAGACUCCUACGGGAGGCAGCAGUAGGGAAUCUUCCGCAAUGGGCGAAAGCCUGACGGAGCAACGCCGCGUGAGUGAUGAAGGUCUUCGGAUCGUAAAACUCUGUUAUUAGGGAAGAACAUAUGUGUAAGUAACUGUGCACAUCUUGACGGUACCUAAUCAGAAAGCCACGGCUAACUACGUGCCAGCAGCCGCGGUAAUACGUAGGUGGCAAGCGUUAUCCGGAAUUAUUGGGCGUAAAGCGCGCGUAGGCGGUUUUUUAAGUCUGAUGUGAAAGCCCACGGCUCAACCGUGGAGGGUCAUUGGAAACAGGAAAACUUGAGUGCAGAAGAGGAAAGUGGAAUUCCAUGUGUAGCGGUGAAAUGCGCAGAGAUAUGGAGGAACACCAGUGGCGAAGGCGACUUUCUGGUCUGUAACUGACGCUGAUGUGCGAAAGCGUGGGGAUCAAACAGGAUUAGAUACCCUGGUAGUCCACGCCGUAAACGAUGAGUGCUAAGUGUUAGGGGGUUUCCGCCCCUUAGUGCUGCAGCUAACGCAUUAAGCACUCCGCCUGGGGAGUACGACCGCAAGGUUGAAACUCAAAGGAAUUGACGGGGACCCGCACAAGCGGUGGAGCAUGUGGUUUAAUUCGAAGCAACGCGAAGAACCUUACCAAAUCUUGACAUCCUUUGACAACUCUAGAGAUAGAGCCUUCCCCUUCGGGGGACAAAGUGACAGGUGGUGCAUGGUUGUCGUCAGCUCGUGUCGUGAGAUGUUGGGUUAAGUCCCGCAACGAGCGCAACCCUUAAGCUUAGUUGCCAUCAUUAAGUUGGGCACUCUAAGUUGACUGCCGGUGACAAACCGGAGGAAGGUGGGGAUGACGUCAAAUCAUCAUGCCCCUUAUGAUUUGGGCUACACACGUGCUACAAUGGACAAUACAAAGGGCAGCGAAACCGCGAGGUCAAGCAAAUCCCAUAAAGUUGUUCUCAGUUCGGAUUGUAGUCUGCAACUCGACUACAUGAAGCUGGAAUCGCUAGUAAUCGUAGAUCAGCAUGCUACGGUGAAUACGUUCCCGGGUCU
rnacentral:rRNA from 1 species